rnacentral:rRNA from 1 species
AGCGAACGCUGGCGGCAGGCUUAACACAUGCAAGUCGAGCGGGCCCUCCGGGGUCUGCGGCAGACGGGUGAGUAACACGUGGGAACGUACCCUUUGGUUCGGAAUACCUCUGGGAAACUAGCGCUAAUACCGGAUACGCCCUUUUGGGGUAAGGCUUUCUGCCGCAGGUUGGGCCCGCGUCUGAUUAGCUAGUUGGUAGGGUAAUGGCCUACCAAGGCGACGAUCAGUAGCUGGUCUGAGAGGAUGAUCAGCCACACUGGGACUGAGACACGGCCCAGACUCCGACGGAAGGGAGCAGUGGGGAAUAUUGGACAAUGGGGGCAGGCCUGAUCCAGCCAUGCCGCGUGAGUGAUGAAGGCCUUAGGGUUGUAAAGCUCUUUUGUCCGGGACGAUAAUGACGGUACCGGAAGAAUAAGCCCCGGCUAACUUCGUG